rnacentral:rRNA from 1 species
UACGUAGGGUGCGAGCGUUGCCCGGAAUUAUUGGGCGUAAAGAGCUCGUAGGCGGUGUGUCACGUCGUUCGUGAAAACCUGCAGCUUAACUGUGGGCGUGCGGUCGAUACGGGCAUCACUGGAGUUCGGCAGGGGAGACUGGAAUUCCUGGUGUAGCGGUGAAAUGCGCAGAUAUCAGGAGGAACACCGGUGGCGAAGGCGGGUCUCUGGGCCGGUACCGACGCUGAGGAGCGAAAGCGUGGGGAGCGAACAGG